rnacentral:rRNA from 1 species
GACGAACCGUGCAAACGUUAUUCGGAAUCAUUGGGCUUAAAGGGUGCGUAGGCGGGUAGGCAAGUCAGAGGUGAAAUCCCACGGCUUAACCGUGGAAGUGCCCCUGAUACUGCCAAUCUCGAGGGAGAUAGGGGCGUGCGGAACUUAGAGUGGAGCGGUGAAAUGCGUAGAUAUUCUAAGGAACACCGGUGGCGAAAGCGGCACGCUGGAUCUCUUCUGACGCUGAGGCACGAAAGCCAGGGGAGCAAACGGG